rnacentral:rRNA from 1 species
UGGACCCGUAAUCCGGGUUGCGGACAGUGUCUGGUGGGUAGUUUGACUGGGGCGGUCUCCUCCUAAAGAGUAACGGAGGAGCACGAAGGUUGGCUAAUCCUGGUCGGACAUCAGGAGGUUAGUGCAAUGGCAUAAGCCAGCUUGACUGCGAGCGUGACGGCGCGAGCAGGUGCGAAAGCAGGUCAUAGUGAUCCGGUGGUUCUGAAUGGAAGGGCCAUCGCUCAACGGAUAAAAGGUACUCCGGGGAUAACAGGCUGAUACCGCCCAAGAGUUCAUAUCGACGGCGGUGUUUGGCACCUCGAUGUCGGCUCAUCACAUCCUGGGGCUGAAGUAGGUCCCAAGGGUAUGGCUGUUCGCCAUUUAAAGUGGUACGCGAGCUGGGUUUAGAACGUCGUGAGACAGUUCGGUCCCUAUCUGCCGUGGGCGCUGGAGAACUGAGGGGGGCUGCUCCUAGUACGAGAGGACCGGAGUGGACGCAUCACUGGUGUUCGGGUUGUCAUGCCAAUGGCACU